rnacentral:lncRNA from 1 species
GCAGCUGAGGCAUCUCGUAAUCACCAGGACCAAAUAUGCUACUGAAUGAAUUCUCCUACUGUGGGAGAAAUCUUUCUAACACACAGGAGGAAAGGAGGAAAGAAACCAGCCUCUCAAAGCUGUGGGCUGUGGCAGGACCGUGAUGGUUAUCUUCCUGGGGGAUCAUCAACAUCCCCUAAAGGUGGAAUGACUGGCUCAGCUGAAUGGGCCAGGGAACACGAAUCUGAAAUCAAACGUUGGUUGAAGGGCACAGUCAAUGAGGAAAGGCAGCGGAUGUAUGUGGACAAUCACGUGUGCCGGGGUGUAAGUUUGGUUCAUUUGGAAUUGAGAGCAGCUGAAUCUCCUUGUUGCUCAGUGAUCAACACAUCUUCUGGGAAAACCAUCCCGUUUCAGACAACUUCCAGCCUGAGGAUUCGGCAGGACUCUCUCCCUCUCACAUAAUUUCACUUCCUUAGCGUGUCACUGGAUGAGCAGCGUCAGCCUCCUGUGGAGCUCAUUAGAAAUGCGGGCUCUCAGGCUCCAUUGCAGACCUGUGGCAUCAGAAUCUGCUUUUUAGUAGGAUUCCAAGGACAAAGUCCAAACGCCUUAUUGCCAUGGCCAUCCCAGCUGCCGCUCCAAGUGCCUCAGGAGGAUUCAGACAGGCCGCUACAGCAGACAGAGCUUCCAGGCCGUCUACACUAUUGCCACAGCUCUCAUAGACUCCCCAGGCCUUGACCGUGAAGGAUGACAAGUGCUCAGUUGAUGGAGACGGGUGGAGGGGGCAUGGUCUGGGCCAGGGGGCUGUCACCAAGGAAGGGAUAUAGAAGCUUUCACUCCAGUGGCUAAAGGGACACUUGCAAUCUUGUCCUCGUCUGGGCUGGCAUUUGUGUCCAAAGGUCCACCCAG